CACGUAGGGGGCGAGCGUUGUCCGGAUUCAUUGGGCGUAAAGGGCGCGCAGGCGGCCCGGAAAGUCGGAUGUGAAAACUCGAGGCUCAACCUCGAGACGUCGGCGGAAACCAUCUGGCUAGAGUCCGGAAGAGGAGAGUGGAAUUCCUGGUGUAGCGGUGAAAUGCGUAGAUAUCUGGAGGAAUACCGGUGGCGAAGGCGGCAUCCUGGACCGGCAUUGACGCUGAGGAGCGAAAGCUAGGGGAGCAAACGGG
rnacentral:rRNA from 1 species